CCUACGGGAGGCUGCAGUGAGGAAUAUUGGUCAAUGGACGAGAGUCUGAACCAGCCAAGUAGCGUGAAUGAUGACUGCCCUCUGGGUUGUAAACUUCUUUUAUAUGGGAAUAAAAUUUUCCACGUGUGGGCUUUUGUAUGUACCAUAUGAAUAAGGAUCGGAGAACUCCGGGCCAUCAGCCGCGCUAAUACGGAGCGGCCGAGCGUUAUCCGGAUUUGUUGGGUUUAAAGGGAGCGUAGGUGGAUUGUUAAGUCAGUUGUGAACGUUUGCGGCUCAACCGUAAAAUUGAAUUUGAACUUGGUAGUCUUGAGUACAGUAGAGGUGGGCGGAAUUCGCGGGGUAGCGGUGAAAUGCUUAGAUAGCACGAAGAACUCCGAGUGGGAAGGCAGUUCAUGGGAAUGCAA
rnacentral:rRNA from 1 species